rfam:Brevibacterium mcbrellneri ATCC 49030 contig00116, whole genome shotgun sequence.
UGGUGAGUGUGUAAGAGCGCAUGGUGGAUGCCUUGGUAUCAGGAGCCGAUGAAGGACGUGGUGACCUGCGAUAAGCCUCGGGGAGUUGGUGAACGGACGGUGAUCCGAGGGUGUCCGAAUGGGGUAACCCCGCUGCAUGUGAUGUGUGGUGACCUGCCAUUGAAUGUAUAGGUGGUAGGGGGGAACGUGGGGAAGUGAAACAUCUCAGUACCCAUAGGAAGAGAAAAUAAUAAUGAUUCUGCUAGUAGUGGCGAGCGAACGUGGAUGAGCCUAAACCGUGUGUGUGUAAGCGUGCUGGUGUUGCAUGCAUGGUGUUGUGGGGUUGGUUUUUCUGCUCUCAGCAUGGAGUGGUGCCGUGGUAUGCGUGUAGGUGAAUAGUCUGGGAUGGCUAACCGUAGCAGGUGAGAGUCCUGUAGCUGAAAUGCGUGUGUUGUGGUGUGACUGAUUCCCGAGUAGGACGGGACUCGUGUAAUCCUGUGUGAAUCUGCCAGGACCACCUGGUAAGGCUAAAUACUUCCUGGUAACCGAUAGUGGAGAGUACCGUGAGGGAAUGGUGAAAAGUACCCCGGGAGGGGAGUGAAAGAGUACCUGAAACCAUGUGCUUACAAUCCGUCAGAGCCCCCUGGUUGGGGUGAUGGCGUGCCUUUUGAAGAAUGAGCCUGCGAGUUAGUGAUACGUGGCGAGGUUAACCCGUGUGGGGUAGUCGUAGCGAAAGCGAGUCCGAAGAGGGCGUUUUUAGUCGCGUGUUCUAGACCCGAAGCGGAGUGAUCUAGCCAUGGACAGGGUGAAGCGAUGGUAAGACGUCGUGGAGGCCCGCACCCACCUAGGUUGAAAACUGGGGGGAUGAUCUGUGGUUAGGGGUGAAAGGCCAAUCAAACUCUGUGAUAGCUGGUUCUCCCCGAAAUGCAUUUAGGUGCAGCGUUGCGUGUUGCUUAUGCGAGGUAGAGCUACUGGGUGGCUGAUGGGCCCUAUCGGGUUACUGACGUCAGCCAAACUCCGAAUGCGUGUAAGUGUAAGCGUGGCAGUGAGACUGCGGGGGAUAAGCUUCGUAGUCGAGAGGGAAACAGCCCAGACCAUCAACUAAGGCCCCUAAGCGUGUGCUCAGUGGGAAAGGAUGUGGAGUUGCGAAGACAACCAGGAGGUUGGCUUAGAAGCAGCCACCCUUGAAAGAGUGCGUAAUAGCUCACUGGUCAAGUGAUUCCGCGCCGAUAAUGUAGCGGGGCUUAAGUACACCGCCGAAGUUGUGGCAACACCACGUAUGAAGGCUUAACAGCUGUGGUGUUGGGUAGGGGAGCGUCGUGUGGCCGGUGAAGUCGCCGUGUGAACGAGUGGUGGAGGCUAUGCGAGUGAGAAUGCAGGCAUGAGUAGCGAAAGACGGGUGAGAAUCCCGUCCGCCGGAUGACAAAGGGUUCCAGGGGCAGGUUCGUCCGCCCUGGGUAAGUCGGGACCUAAGGCGAGGCCGACAGGCGUAGUCGAUGGAUAACGGGUUGAUAUUCCCGUACCGGUGAAAAACCGUCCAUACCGAAUCAUGUGAGACUAACUACUCACAC